rnacentral:rRNA from 7 species
GAAUGCUGACAUAAGUAACGAUAAAGCGGGUGAAAAGCCCGCUCGCCGGAAGACCAAGGGUUCCUGUCCAACGUUAAUCGGGGCAGGGUGAGUCGACCCCUAAGGCGAGGCCGAAAGGCGUAGUCGAUGGGAAACGGGUUAAUAUUCCCGUACUUGGUGUUACUGCGAAGGGGGGACGGAGAAGGCUAUGUUGGCCGGGCGACGGUUGUCCCGGUUUAAGCGUGUAGGUGUGUGUUCCAGGUAAAUCCGGUUCACUUUAACACUGAGGCGUGACGACGAGGCACUACGGUGCUGAAGCAACAAAUGCCCUGCUUCCAGGAAAAGCCUCUAAGCAUCAGGUAACAUCAAAUCGUACCCCAAACCGACACAGGUGGUCAGGUAGAGAAUACCAAGGCGCUUGAGAGAACUCGGGUGAAGGAACUAGGCAAAAUGGUGCCGUAACUUCGGGAGAAGGCACGCUGACACGUAGGUGAAGUGAUUUACUCA